AUUGAACGCUGGCGGCAGGCCUAACACAUGCAAGUCGAGCGAGCGGCGGACGGGUGAGUAAUGUCUGGGAAACUGCCUGCUGGAGGGGGAUAACUACUGUAAACGGUAGCUAAUACCGCAUACCAUCAGAUGUGCCCAGAUGGGAUUAGCUAGUAGGUGGGGUAUAGGCACACCUAGGCGACGAUCCCUAGCUGGUCUGAGAGGAUGACCAGCCACACUGGAACUGAGACACGGCCCAGACUCCUACGGGAGGCAGCAGUGGGGAAUAUUGCACAAUGGGCGCAAGCCUGAUGCAGCCAUGCCGCGUGUAUGAAGAAGGCCUUCGGGUUGUAAAGUACUUUCAGCGGGGAGGCGUUACCCGCAGAAGAAGCACCGGCUAACUCCGUGCCAGCAGCCGCGGUAAUAC
rnacentral:rRNA from 1 species